UACUGGCUGCUUAACUGUGUUGUGCCUUAUCUGCAGAAAAAAUGAGUUAAAACACGCAUAGUGAGCAGUGAUAACUGUAGCUGUGAUUAUUUGAAAGGGGCCUUUUGAGCAGCUGCUUCUGCAAGAGGACAUCCGGAGACACAGGAAUAGAAAUGAUCCGAUCAGAGUAAUUAAAGGCUUUUAACUGAGCUCUGAGGUCCCAAACAGGGCACAUUCCGUCAGCCUAAAGCUGUGAAGAAGAACCUUCAACAUAAGGAACCUAGCAAGAUUGUACAAUGAAUGGUGAUUCUCGUGCUGCGGUGGUGACCUCACCACCCCCGACCACAGCCCCUCACAAGGAGAGGUACUUCGACCGAGUAGAUGAGAACAACCCAGAGUACUUGAGGGAGAGGAACAUGGCACCAGACCUUCGCCAGGACUUCAACAUGAUGGAGCAAAAGAAGAGGGUGUCCAUGAUUCUGCAAAGCCCUGCUUUCUGUGAAGAAUUGGAAUCAAUGAUACAGGAGCAAUUUAAGAAGGGGAAGAACCCCACAGGCCUAUUGGCUUUACAGCAGAUUGCAGAUUUUAUGACCACGAAUGUACCAAAUGUCUACCCAGCAGCUCCGCAAGGAGGGAUGGCUGCCUUAAACAUGAGUCUUGGUAUGGUGACUCCUGUGAACGAUCUUAGAGGAUCUGAUUCUAUUGCGUAUGACAAAGGAGAGAAGUUAUUACGGUGUAAAUUGGCAGCGUUUUAUAGACUAGCAGAUCUCUUUGGGUGGUCUCAGCUUAUCUACAAUCAUAUCACAACCAGAGUGAACUCCGAGCAGGAACACUUCCUCAUUGUCCCUUUUGGGCUUCUUUACAGUGAAGUGACUGCAUCCAGUUUGGUUAAGAUCAAUCUACAAGGAGAUAUAGUAGAUCGUGGAAGCACUAAUCUGGGAGUAAAUCAAGCCGGCUUCACCUUACACUCUGCAAUUUAUGCUGCACGCCCGGACGUGAAGUGCGUUGUGCACAUUCACACCCCAGCAGGGGCUGCGGUCUCUGCAAUGAAAUGUGGCCUCUUGCCAAUCUCCCCGGAGGCGCUUUCCCUUGGAGAAGUGGCUUAUCAUGACUACCAUGGCAUUCUGGUUGAUGAAGAGGAAAAAGUUUUGAUUCAGAAAAAUCUGGGGCCUAAAAGCAAGGUUCUUAUUCUCCGGAACCAUGGGCUCGUGUCAGUUGGAGAGAGCGUUGAGGAGGCCUUCUAUUACAUCCAUAACCUUGUGGUUGCCUGUGAGAUCCAGGUUCGAACUCUGGCCAGUGCAGGAGGACCAGACAACUUAGUCCUGCUGAAUCCUGAGAAGUACAAAGCCAAGUCCCGUUCCCCAGGGUCUCCGGUAGGGGAAGGCACUGGAUCGCCUCCCAAGUGGCAGAUUGGUGAGCAGGAAUUUGAAGCCCUCAUGCGGAUGCUCGAUAAUCUGGGCUACAGAACUGGCUACCCUUAUCGAUACCCUGCUCUGAGAGAGAAGUCUAAAAAAUACAGCGAUGUGGAGGUUCCUGCUAGUGUCACAGGUUACUCCUUUGCUAGUGACGGUGAUUCGGGCACUUGCUCCCCACUCAGACACAGUUUUCAGAAGCAGCAGCGGGAGAAGACAAGAUGGCUGAACUCUGGCCGGGGCGACGAAGCUUCCGAGGAAGGGCAGAAUGGAAGCAGUCCCAAGUCGAAGACUAAGGUGUGGACGAACAUUACACACGAUCACGUGAAACCCUUGCUGCAGUCUCUCUCGUCCGGUGUCUGCGUGCCAAGCUGUAUUACCAACUGCUUGGUCUGUGCCUACCUUACUGUUCAUAGUUAGAUGACGUAGAGCAAGUUGGGUAGCUGGGGCUUCGGAGGCUUUGGGAAUCCAGCCUUUCUGACCCAGGUGUAAAGCGAACCUUCCUUAUUCACUUUCUUGUAGUCUGAACCUAAGUCCACUGAAUGCAUUACUAAAAUUCGGGUAAUACUAUCUGCUUGAAACUGCUUAAGAUGUAAUGUAACUCCGCAGUAGUUCCAGUAUAUCUCCAUAUAUAGCAAAAAUACACAAUAAUUUACAUGUAUUAACCUACAAAUAGGAGCUCUUCUUAUUUAAUUCAAAUUAUAUUCAGGGACUCUUAAUACUUCAUGCACAAAAAGACACUUCAGUCCUAAACCUGUAUUUUAGUGUUGUGAACUCCAGUGGUUUCAAGUCACUAAAGUUUCUUCUUUAAGUCUUCAGUGUUUUCUUAAGCAGUUUUCCCUUGUGGCUCCCUGGUGUGUUCUCUGCUGACUCUUGUCCCCUGCCCUUAGUGUUAUUCCCCUGCUUUCUAUCCCAAAGCCUCCGAAUGCACACCCCCAGCUGCCCUCUGCAUGGACUGUUGCAUGUGAGUAGACGGCCAUAGUGGCGAGUCACCUUCUGACUCCUGC
rnacentral:sRNA from 1 species